CUCUCAGUUUUAAUUAAACUUACACAUGCAAGUCUCCCGCUCCAGUGAAAAUGCCCUUUAUCUUCCUUUUAUCAGAAGAAAAGGAGUUGGUAUCAGGCUCAAAUAGCCCAAAACACCUAGCUCAGCCACGCCUCCAAAGGACUCCAGCAGUGAUUAACAUUAAACACUAGCGCAAGCUAAAUUUAGUUAUAAUUUAUAUGGUCGGUUAAUUUCGUGCCAGCCACCGCGGUUAUACGAAAGACUUAAACUGAUAGCCACCGGCGUAAAGCGUGAUUAGGGGCAAAAAUUUUCUAAAGCUAAACUCUGACUUAAUUGUUAUAAGUUUUUAUCAGUAGGAAACCCAAUAACGAAAGUAGCUUUAUUACACCUGACUUCACGGUAGCCAAGACCCAAACUGGGAUUAGAUACCCCACUAUGCUUGGCCCUAAACUUUGAUAAUUACUAUUAAC
rnacentral:rRNA from 1 species